CAAGUAUAAUGUUUAUUACACAAGAGUAUUACAGGUCAGGACGAGUUUCUAGAAAACUCGGAGAUAACACACAGGCCGAAUAGUGAAAAUCCGCCUUGACUCUGCAAGGUAAGGUGUUUUAUAGGGGAGUUGUUUACCACAAACCUAGAGAUUUAAUGACGUCACACAACCGGGCCUUCUGCCUAAAUUUGGGAAUGUGUCAUACCUUAAGAUUCAAGGACCCACUGAAAACCAUCUCUCCUCUUAUUAUUCCAUAGGCAGUUCAAGGAUAGUUCAGACAAAGAGAAACACACUGAACACAUCUGGAGAUAAUACUUAAAGGUUUGAACUUAAGAUUCAAGGCGCCUUUAGAUAUUAACAUGUCAUUAUGAUCUAUACUUAUGCUAUAGAAACUCAGAAGCUGAAUAUGAACUUACCAUUUAUGGUUUGUAACUGUGCUAUGGAUAUCUAUUAGCUUAAGGAAUACACUAUAAUACAAUUUUGAGUUCAUCAUAAGGAUGAUCAUGAUAAAUCUGAUUCCUGUUUUAGAGACAAUUUAGUCCAUGACACCACAAGACACUUGGACACAAUGUGUAACACUGUCCUUUUUCAUAAAGGCUGUUCUUACUAGCAUAUAAUGGUAAUUUGUCACCCUUUAAUAUCAUAUUAAAAUACCCUUACCUUAUAUAACUUUUUUCUCUUUUGCCAACUGUACAUUAGACCCUGCACCUAUAGCUCCUGCCACAGCCCCAUCCAUUUCCUAUUCACCGCCUGGACCAAGAUCCCCAACCUCAUCUCCCCGCUCUCCAAAUGCAAAGAGAGCUGUCCAGCAAAACAUCCACGGACCCGCAAAGGUGGAAAAAAAGUCAACCCAAAAAACUGCAAUUACCACGACUCAAUGGGAAGUUACCCAUAUUCUAAAAUCUGCACGGAAAGAGUUCGAGAUGGGGUAAAGGAGGUGAACGUGAGGUGGCUGCCAUGCCCCAAAUGCAAUUUGAGGUGGAAAGAUUCCUUGGUCCUUAAAACAGAGCUGGAAUAAUCCGGACAGAGGAGGAUGCAGCUUAUAUUUCUGCUUGUUUGACGUGUAAUUUGUUAUUUUAGAUGUUAUUGUAUAUUGUGUUAAUGUUACAUUUACUGUUUCUUGUUCUAUUUUACUGUUUUUAAAUAAAAUGUU